CAAAGGGAAGUGGUUAGAACUGGGCAGCAAGAGUGGGACCCGAUUCGUCUUCAAGGAGAGCCAUGACCAGCAGAGCAACGUGUACACGGCCGAGCUGCAGAUCGGGAAGGUGGUCCUGGGCGACCGGGGUGAAUACCGGUGCGAGGUGAAGGCCCAGGAUGCCUGUGACAGCUGCAGUUUCAGCAUCGAUGUGGAAGCCCCCAGCCAGGACAGCGGUAAUAUCCUGGAAAGCUUCAAGCGCUCAGGUGAAAGGAGGCCUGACGAUGCAGGAGAACUGGACUUCAGCGGUCUUUUAAAGAAAAGGUGAGG